CAUGGAGUCAUGCCAGGGGUCAAUGGGUAAUAGCCAUGUUGGCGUUACUCGUUGGCUCGGCAAUAGCUACCGAACCUUACUAUUAUAGCUCUCCUCCACCACCGUAUGAGUAUAAAUCUCCACCGCCUCCGGUUAAGUCUCCUCCACCUCCUUAUGAAUACAAAUCUCCUCCCCCUCCGGUUAAGUCUCCCCCACCACCUUAUUACUAUCAUUCACCGCCGCCGCCGGUGAAAUCCCCUCCCCCUCCUUAUGUAUACCAGUCUCCUCCUCCUCCGGUGAAGUCUCCACCACCACCUUAUUACUACCACUCUCCGCCACCACCUGUGAAGUCUCCUCCCCCUCCUUAUGUAUACAACUCUCCUCCUCCUCCGGUGAAGUCUCCUCCACCACCGUAUUAUUACCACUCUCCUCCACCACCAGUAAAAUCUCCUCCUCCUCCUUACUAUUAUCAUUCUCCACCACCUCCGGUGAAAUCUCCGCCACCACCAUAUUACUAUCACUCACCACCUCCUCCAGUGAAGUCUCCCCCACCACCAUAUUACUACCAUUCUCCACCACCACCGGUUAAAUCUCCACCACCACCUUACUACUAUCAUUCUCCACCUCCUCCAUUGAAGUCUCCUCCACCACCAUACUACUAUCACUCUCCUCCUCCUCCAGCCAAGUCUCCACCACCACCAUACUACUACUACUACUCUCCUCCUCCUCCAGUCAAGUCUCCUCCACCACCGUACUACUACCACUCUCCUCCUCCUCCGGUCAAGUCUCCUCCACCACCGUACUACUACCACUCUCCUCCUCCUCCGGUAAAGUCUCCACCACCACCGUACUACUACCACUCUCCUCCUCCUCCGGUUAAAUCUCCACCACCACCUUACUACUACCACUCUCCUCCUCCUCCGGUUAAAUCACCACCACCGCCAUACUAUUAUCACUCUCCACCUCCUCCAGUGAAAUCACCACCCCCACCUUAUUAUUACUCAUCCCCACCACCACCAAAGUCUUAUCCUCCACCAUACUACUACUCAUCUCCACCGCCACCACCAAAGUCGUACUCGCCACCGUACUACUACUCAUCGCCACCACCUCCGAUGUCAUACCCUCAACCUCACCCACAGCCACAUCCACUUGUCUUCAAAGUUGUUGGUAAAGUGUAUUGUUACAGAUGUUAUGACUGGACUUAUCCUAAAAAGUCCCACGAUAAGAAGCAUCUCAAAGGUAACUAUGUCUUCCACGUGUUCAAUAAUUAAUGUUUUAAUCUUAGCUAACUUAAUUACAGAAAAUAUGAUCCUGAUGAUUAUAGAAUGAUUAAAGGCUUAUAGGAUUUAAAUAAACUAGCAUAUGUGUAUUGUGAAGUGGUAGUUGCAAGUCUGGAUUAUUUAUUUAGUGGAGAAAAGAAAACGAUCAAGUCAAGAAAAAAACAAAAAUCUGUUAUUGACUAAAACAAUCGAGAGAGAUAGAACAAGCAAAAUCGAUUUAAAUGACAUAAAAUGAUACUUUAAAUUUAAAUAAUUUGUUGUCAUAUAGGUGCUGUGGUGGAAGUGACGUGCAAGGCCGGUGACAAGACAGUGAAGGCAUACGGGAAGACCAAAAUCAACGGUAAAUACGCAAUAACCGUUAAGGGAUACAACUACCGUAAAUACGGUGGCGAAGUUUGCACAGCCAAACUCCACUCGCCACCUAAGGGAUCGCCGUGUAACAUUCCUACAAGUUACCAUUUGGGUAACAAAGGUGCUAAACUCCAUGUGAAAUCAAAGACAAAGUACGAGGUUGUGCUUUAUGCUAAGUCCUUUGCUUAUGCACCUAAGAAACCUUACGGAGAAUGCCACAAGCCGGCUCCUUACCAUCCUCCUUACUACUACAAGUCUCCACCACCACCUUCUCCGGUUUACUACUACAAGUCUCCACCACCACCAACUCCAACUUAUGUCUAUAAAUCACCGCCUCCACCAACCCCAGCGUAUGUCUACAAAUCGCCUCCUCCUCCUACCCCAACAUACGUCUAUAAAUCUCCUCCACCACCAACUCCGACUUACGUCUACAAAUCACCACCACCGCCUACUCCAACGUAUGUGUAUAAGUCUCCGCCUCCACCAACCCCUACGUAUGUCUACAAGUCGCCCCCACCACCAACUCCAACCUAUGUUUACAAAUCACCGCCUCCUCCUACUCCGACCUACGUCUACAAGUCGCCGCCUCCUCCUACCCCAACUUAUGUUUACAAGUCGCCACCACCUCCAACACACACUCCUACACCAUACUACUACCAUUCUCCACCACCACCAGUUAAAUCUCCUCCACCUCCAUAUUAUUACCAUUCGCCACCACCACCCGUAAAAUCUCCACCACCGCCAUAUUAUUAUCAUUCACCACCCCCUCCGGUGAAAUCUCCUCCUCCUCCUUACUACUACCACUCUCCACCCCCUCCGGUGAAGUCUCCUCCUCCACCUUACUACUACCAGUCACCACCCCCUCCCGUAAAGUCACCACCACCACCAUAUUAUUACCAUUCACCACCUCCUCCGGUCAAAUCUCCUCCUCCACCCUACUAUUACCAUUCACCUCCUCCACCGAUGAAAUCUCCACCACCACCAUACUACUACCACUCACCACCUCCUCCAGUCAAAUCUCCUCCUCCACCGUACUAUUACCAUUCACCUCCUCUACCGGUGAAAUCUCCACCACCACCAUACUACUACCAUUCACCACCUCCUCCUGUCAAAUUUCCUCCUCCACCAUACUAUUACCACUCACCACCCCCACCGGUCAAAUCCCCUCCACCACCUUACUACUACCACUCACCACCCCCACCGGUCAAAUCUCCUCCUCCACCAUACUACUACCACUCCCCACCCCCACCGGUCAAAUCUCCUCCACCACCUUACUACUACCACUCACCACCCCCACCGGUCAAAUCUCCUCCACCACCCUAUUACUACCACUCACCACCUCCACCGGUGAAGUCGCCACCACCGCCAUACUAUUACCAUUCACCACCCCCACCGGUCAAAUCUCCUCCACCACCCUAUUACUACCAUUCACCACCUCCACCGGUGAAAUCGCCACCACCGCCAUAUUAUUACCACUCACCACCCCCACCGGUCAAAUCUCCUCCUCCACCAUACUACUAUCACUCACCGCCCCCUCCAAUGAAAUCUCCUCCACCACCAUAUGUUUACCAUUCACCACCUCCACCCAUGAAAUCUCCUCCUCCACCAUACUACUAUCACUCACCACCUCCACCAGUAAAGUCUCCACCACCACCACCAUAUUAUUACCAUUCACCACCUCCUCCAGUAAAAUCUCCUCCUCCACCAUACUACUACCAUUCACCACCUCCUCCGGUGAAGUCUCCACCACCGCCAUACCAUUACAACUCUCCACCACCACCAGUAAAAUCUCCCCCACCUCCAGUAUACAUCUACGCCUCUCCUCCACCUCCUACCCAUUACUAGGCUCAUCAAAUUCAACCAAAUUUCCCCAUUAUUCAAGUAAAGUCCCAACGCUUCAACAUUUUCAAUAUGCUUCAUAUCCAUAUCGAUAGAACUUUGUCUCAUUAUCUCAAUUUCUUCUUCGCAGG
rnacentral:lncRNA from 1 species